rnacentral:rRNA from 1 species
AGUGAACGCUGGCGGUAGGCCUAACACAUGCAAGUCGAACGGCAGCACAGUAAGAGCUUGCUCUUACGGGUGGCGAGUGGCGGACGGGUGAGGAAUACAUCGGAAUCUACUUUUUCGUGGGGGAUAACGUAGGGAAACUUACGCUAAUACCGCAUACGACCUACGGGUGAAAGCAGGGGAUCUUCGGACCUUGUGCGAUUGAAUGAGCCGAUGUCGGAUUAGCUAGUUGGCGGGGUAAAGGCCCACCAAGGCGACGAUCCGUAGCUGGUCUGAGAGGAUGAUCAGCCACACUGGAACUGAGACACGGUCCAGACUCCUACGGGAGGCAGCAGUGGGGAAUAUUGGACAAUGGGCGCAAGCCUAAUCCAGCCAUACCGCGUGGGUGAAGAAGGCCUUCGGGUUGUAAAGCCCUUUUGUUGGGAAAGAAAAGCAGCAGGUUAAUACCCCGCUGUUCUGACGGUACCCAAAGAAUAAGCACCGGCUAACUUCGUG